CAAUAAUGUAUAUUAACUCUACUGUAGUUAAAAAGCUCGUAGUUGGAUUUUGGAUUGACAAUGGAUAGGUGCCCACCAAAUAUGGUCGAGGCCCACAUAUGUUUUCCUUCUGAGAAAUUAAUAUAUUAAUUACUUUCUCAUUUUACCUUGAAGAAAUUAGAGUGUUCAAAGCAGGUAAGAAUCUGCCGUUGAAUAUUAUAGCAUGGGAUAAUGAAAUAUGACAUUAGUCUUAUUUUGUUGGUUCUAAAGGCUCAAUGUAAUGAUUAAAAGGGACAGUUGGGGUCAUUAGUAUUCAAUCGCAAGGGGUGAAAUCCUAAGAUUGAUUGAGGACUAACUAGUGCGAAAGCAUUUGACAAGGAUGUUUNCAUUAA
rnacentral:rRNA from 1 species